AUUGAACGCUGGCGGCAGGCCUAACACAUGCAAGUCGAGAGGAGCGGCGGACGGGUGAGUAAUGCCUAGGAAACUGCCUGGUAGUGGGGGAUAACGUCCGGAAACGGGCGCUAAUACCGCAUAAUAACAGAUGAGACUAGGUCGGAUUAGCUAGUUGGUGGGGUAAAGGCCUACCAAGGCGACGGUCCGUAACUGGUCUGAGAGGAUGAUCAGUCACACUGGAACUGAGACACGGUCCAGACUCCUCCGGGAGGCAGCAGUGGGUAAUAUUGGACAAUGGGCGAAAGCCUGAUCCAGCCAUGCCGCGUUUUUGAAGAAGGUCUUCGGAUUGUAAAGCACUUUAAGUUGGGAGGCGUUACCAACAGAAUAAGCACCGGCUAACUUCGUGCCAGCCGCCGCGGUAAUUA
rnacentral:rRNA from 1 species